GUCUAUCUUUAAUGUGCAAUAUAGAUAUAUAUCAUCCAAGGAAAAAAAAAAACAAGUCUUCUUUCUCAAUAACAUAGACCAGCCCAGCAGUGAGUCAGAACAAGAGGACGCUGAUGCUGCUCCUGCCCCUUCCUGUGUACCUGUCCCUGAGGCUGGCCCUGCCCCAAGACCACAGAGCGGGACGAAGAGGAAGAGAGCCAGGGUAGGCAAGGCAAGGCAACUUUAUUUAUAUAGCACUUUUCAUACACAAGGCAGACUCAAAGUGCUUCACAUAUAAACAUUGUCAUACAAUAAAAUAAAAUAAUAGAUAAGUAAAAGAAAACAUAUGCAAAGAAAUGAGUAAAAUAGAAAGUGAGAAAAUUAAAUUGAAAGUUAAAAAGGCUUUUUAGUAAGUAAAAUUGAAAGUGCAAUUUUUAAGAUCAGAUCAACAGUCUCUCUGGAACUCAAGUCGGGACUACAACCCGACCUAAAGGAACUUGGUCCUUUCUCUGGAACUCCAAUCCAGAUUCUAGGACUCUAACCCAGACAGAACUUGGAAACGUCUCCCACGGAGCUCGGUCUCAGAAUUCCACCCACACACAAACUCAGGACUCUAACCCUUAUACAAAUACAAACUCAGGACUCUAACCCUUAUACAAACAAACUCAGGACUCUAACCCUUACACAAAUACAAACUCAGGACUCUCACCCUUAUACAAAUACAAAUUCAGGACUCUAACCCUUAUACAAACAAACUCAGGACUCUAACCCUUAUACAAACUCAGGACUCUAACCCUUAUACACCUCUUCUCAAAAGAGUUAAACACAAUUCUUCGUAUAUUCAGUGAUUAUUGGUCUCAAACCCUUAUCCUUUCUCUCUGGAAUCAGAUCAUGUAUUUUUCUGGUAAAAAUAGAAAAUAAAGGGAAAGUUAAAAAGGAAAGUGCAAUGUAUUUAAGAAAGUGAGAAAAUUAAAUUGAAAGUUAUUUAAGAUCAGAUCAACAGACUCUCUGGAACCCAAGUCGGGACCACAACCCGACCUUAAGGACAAUCUAUUACAAUAUUCUAGGACUCUAGCCCAGAACCAAAGGCAAACAACAAACAACCUCAGCAAAUGUCAUGUAUUUUUCUGGUAAAAAUAGAAAAUAAAGGGAAAGUUAAAAAGGCAUUUUAGUAAAAU
rnacentral:lncRNA from 1 species